rnacentral:rRNA from 1 species
AAAUCCGCUUUGAUAAUGCUGGGAUGUGAUGGGGAGCGAAAUUUAGUAGCGAAGUAGCUGAUUUCACACUGUCAAGAAAAGUCUCUAUCGAGGUUAAAGGUACCCGUACCGCAAACCGACACAGGUGGGUGAGGAGCGUAUCCUAAGGCCAGCGAGAGAACUGUUGUUAAGGAACUCGGCAAAAUGACCCCGUAACUUAGGGAUAAGGGGUGCCACCAUCAGGUGGCCGCAGAGAAUAGGCCCAAGCGACUGUUUACCAAAAACAUAGGUUUCUGCUAAGUCGCAAGACGAUGUAUAGGAGCUGACGCCUGCCCGGUGCUGGAAGGUUAA